rnacentral:lncRNA from 1 species
UCAGCCCCUCGGUGGAGGGCGCACCCGCCUCCAGGUGCGGCUUCUGGAGGGAGCAGGCACACCUGGCCUCCAACCACUGCCUGCGGGAGACCGGACUCGGGGAGGGGGGAGCGUCUCUGCAAGGAGCCGAGCGGCAGGCAGAGCCCCCGAGACCACACGACUCACACCAGGGAAGAUGCCUCAGGGCGCUGAGAGGCCUGGGAUCUGCGACCCGGCCCGCGUGGGGAGAGCAUGCAAGACGCCGUGGGGGCGCAGGGCAGGGGCCCCCUUCGAGAACCUGGGCCGCCUGUGAAACCCAAGUGGCAGUGGUGGCUCCACUGCCUGCCCGAGUGAGCGCUCGGCUGCAGGGACCCCCUCACCCGGCAGCUGCACCCCAAGGACCCCCCCACCCGGCAGCUGCACCCCACGGACACCCCCACCCGGCAGCUG